GCUGUAGCUCAGUGGUAGAUGGUCUGCUCUGGAAGCAGAAGGUCCCAGUUUCAAUUCCCAGCAUCUCCA